rnacentral:lncRNA from 1 species
GCUCAUUAAUCAGGUUUUUUCUUUUUUUUUAUACAACCAAAAUAUAAUUUUCCGUUAUUUUAUUUUUUUUUUUUUCAACUUUUAACUUUUUAUUUUUUGUUUUAUAAUUAUGAUUAAUUAUGAUAGUAUACUAAUUAAUGAUAGCUAUGUGUCAGGUAUAAUAUGUUUAAACAAAAAUUAAUUGCUUUUCUUUGUACAUUUUAUAAUUAUACUAUCAAAACAAUCGUUUUUAUAUAUUUACUGAAUAUUAAACUUUUUUUUUUUUUUUUCUAUUAUUAUGUUUUAAGAAAUGACCAUAGAUGAUGUUAAAAAAUUAAAGCCUUAUUGGAAUAUGCAGAUAGCUAAUUAUAAAGAAGGUGCAAAAGAGCCCGUUUAUACUUUAUUACAAAUGGCAAUUAUUAUGAACAAAAAAAAAAUAGUUGGGUAUUUACUAGCUAGAAGAGGUUUAGAUAUAAAUGUUCUCAGUAGAAAUAAUCAAACAGCUUUAAUGAUUGCUUGUGAAAAAAAAGUUCCAUUAGAUUGGAUCGAGGCAAUUUUAAAAAAAGGUGGAGAUUUAGGUAUAAAUAUGAAAGACGAUUACAAUGAGACUGCAUUAGAUAAAUGUAUCUUCAACUCAAAAGCCUAUCGUUUACUUUUAAAAUAUGGAGCUAUCGAAACAAACGCUAUGAGACUGCAAGAAACAGAGAACCAGCAAUAUAAUGGUAUUGACAGCUUAUGGCUUAACAUGUGUGGAUGUGGAUCGAGAUGUAAAUAAUUUUUUUUUAAACUUGAACAAAAUAAAUAAAAUAAAAUAAAAUAUAUACA